rnacentral:rRNA from 1 species
AUACGUAAGGGGCGAGCGUUGUUCGGAAUUAUUGGGUGUAAAGGGUGCGUAGGCGGUUUGACAAGUCUGGUGUUGAAGGCAACGGCUUAACCGUUGUUUGGCGCUGGAAACUGUUGGACUUGAGUUUAGGAGGGGGAGCUGGAAUUCCAGGUGUAGGGGUGAAAUCUGUAGAUAUCUGGAAGAACACCGGUGGCGAAGGCGAGCUCCUGGCCAUAGACUGACGCUGAGGCACGAAAGCGUGGGGAGCGAACAGGAUUAGAUACCCUGGUAGUCCACGCUGUAAACGAUGUACACUAGGUGUCGGUCCAAGAGGAUCGGUGCCGUAGCAAACGCGUUAAGUGUACCACCUGGGGAGUAUGCCGGCAACGGUGAA